ACCGGGCACGGUGGUGCGUGCCUGUAGUCCCAGCUUUUCGGAGGCUGAGGUGGGAGGAUCUCCUGAGCCCAAGAGUUCUGGCCUGUAGUGCACUAUGCCGAGCGGCUGUCUGCACUAAGUUCGGCAUCAAUAAGGUGACCUCCCUGGAGUGGGGACACUCCAGGUUGCCUAAGGAGCGGUCAACCGGCCCAGGUUAGAAAUGGAGGAGGCCAAAACUCUCGUGCUGAUCAGUAGUGGGAUCGCAGACUGCUCUCCAGAGAGACUCCAUCUCU
rnacentral:SRP_RNA from 1 species